UGGGGAAUAUUGCACAAUGGGCGCAAGCCUGAUGCAGCCAUGCCGCGUGUAUGAAGAAGGCCUUCGGGUUGUAAAGUACUUUCAGCGGGGAGGAAGGGAGUAAAGUUAAUACCUUUGCUCAUUGACGUUACCCGCAGAAGAAGCACCGGCUAACUCCGUGCCAGCAGCCGCGGUCAUACGGAGGGUGCAAGCGUUAAUCGGAAUUACUGGGCGUAAAGCGCACGCAGGCGGUUUGUUAAGUCAGAUGUGAAAUCCCCGGGCUCAACCUGGGAACUGCAUCUGAUACUGGCAAGCUUGAGUCUCGUAGAGGGGGGUAGAAUUCCAGGUGUAGCGGUGAAAUGCGUAGAGAUCUGGAGGAAUACCGGUGGCGAAGGCGGCCCCCUGGACGAAGACUGACGCUCAGGUGCGAAAGCGUGGGGAGCAAACAGG
rnacentral:rRNA from 1 species